GAAUGAAUGAAUUCAAUUCGAGAAAUGAGCUGGUCCGCAAGGAGAAGAACUGUUUUCAAAGAAAACUUUCGAUUGCAAAAAUUAAACAAGUCUUCCAACGAAGGACCCAAUAAAUCCAUCACCAUAGCGUUGUAAUCACAUUCUACACCGAACCAACGAACAAACGGGAUUCCGACCCCUCCUGACAAAAUGCGAUAAACUCUGUAUUCAUACUCCAAUUGAGGGUGUUUAGCACGAGUUGAUUCUAGCUUGAUAGCGACCUCUUCACCAGAAACGACAUUAGUCCCAA